rnacentral:rRNA from 1 species
AUUGAACGCUAGCGGGAUGCCUUACACAUGCAAGUCGAACGAGUGGCCAACGGGUGAGUAAUGCUUGGGAAUCUAGCUUAUGGAUGGGGAUAACUACGGGAAAGUGGAGCUAAUACCGCGUACCACAGGAUGAGACUAAGUGGGAUAAGGUAGUUGGUGAAGCAAAGGCUCAACAAGCCGACGAACUCUAGCUGGGCUGAGAGGAUGACCAGCCACACUGGGACUGAGACACGGCCCAGACUCCUACGGGAGGCAGCAGUGGGGAAUAUUGCGCAAUGGGGGCAACCUGACGCAGCAACGCCGGGUGAAUGAAGAAGGCCUUAGGGUUGUAAAGUUCUGUCGGUAGCGAGGCGUUAACUACAGAAGAAGCACCGGCUAACUCCGUGCCAGCAGCCGCGGUAAUAC